GGCAGAAGAGACUUUAAGAACCUGAGUUUUUUGUGAUCUUGAGUGCCGCCUCCCAUUUCACAGUUAAAGAAACUGAGGCCAGCUCCAGCUGUGCCCUCCUGCCCUGCUUUUCUACCCGCCUGUCCAGAGGGCCCCUCUUCUCCAUCUCUCCUGUCCUCUGCCUGGCUCCAGGAGGAUGCCCCUGCUCCCCUUCUCCUUCCAUAGCCCUCCCAGACAGUCUGACCCCUGGCCUGGCUGCCCCGUGUCAAAGGGAGUUGAUCCUCUGACUUCCUGCAGCCCAGAAAGCCUGCUGGUCUGCUCUCGGGGAAAUCCCAAGACCCCAGCACAGGCACAACUAUUCAUUCAGAGCCAGCCCGUCUGGCUGUGUGUUUUUCUUGGUUGGAAUUAUUAACUCCACUUCCUGUUGUCUGGAGACAUGCGGGUUGUGGAGAGGAAUCUUGAGUGGAUGGAUGGCAAAGAUGACAAAUGAACCACUGUUGCCACGAAUGGGAGCCCUAACAAGGUGGUGAAAUGGUAUGGAGGAAGAUCCAGAAGAUGAUGGAAGUCUGGAGAGGUCUGGUCAGCAUUGAGUGCUGCCCUGUCUGCUGCUUCAGGAAGAGGAGGAAAUGGAGCUCCCAGUUCUUUACAGGAUUUUUUCCUGGGAAGCUGAAGUGCUUUAAAAAAUACUCAAUCAUCACUAUCAGCUUUUCCCAAAAUUCAAUAGGAGCUUUGAUCUACGCUCACGUUUGUGGUAGACACACUCGAGAAGUGGCCCCCGUGACUCCCUUCCCCAGUCCUGGAGUUCACACCCUCGAGUGUGGGAAGACCUGGGACUUCUUCUAACCAACCGACCACCACACAGAUGGCCAGAUGUGCAAGGUUACAGCCACAUAAGACUUUAGCAUCAGUUUGGCUGGAGUCUCGCUCUCUCUGCCUUGCUGGCUUUGAGGACGCAAGUGAUCCUCUUGGAUAACCCCGUGUGGCAGGAACUGGAGGGUGCCUCUGGGGCAGAAGGGGGGCCCGGCUAACAGCCAGUGAGAAACUGAAGUCUUCAGUCAAAUGCUUGCAAGAAACUGAAUUCUUCCCACAACCGGGGUAGGCUUGGAAAUGAUCCUCCUGCAGGCAAACCUCAGAUGAGAACACAGCCCGUCCGACACCCAGAUUCCUGCCUGGCUGAGACUCUAAACAGAGAAUCCAUCUAAGCUGUCCCUGGACUCUAUUUCUUAUUGACACAUGAAAAAGCUCAUGGGAGACUGUGUUUCUAAAAUUGGAACAGAAUAACCAUACCAAGUACUGGCAAGGAUGUGGAUCAAGGGCAACGAUCAAGGGCAACGCUCACACACCGCUUGGGGAGACGCAAAAGUGUACAGCCCCUCUGGGAAACAGGGCUACCGUUUCUUAAAGGUUAAACAUUAAAGCAACAGUGAGAUACCCCUCUACUCUUAUUAAAAUGGCCCAAAUCUGAGACAAUGACAGCAUCACAGCUGGCAAGGGUGUGGAGCAACAGGAACUCUCGUUCGCUGGUGGUGGGAAUGCAAAAUGUGCAGCUACUUUGGAAGACAGUUUUUGGUGUUUUUUACAAACUUAACAUAAUCUUAACAUAGGAUCCGGCACCCACGGUAUUUACCUUGGUAUUUACCCAAAUGAGCUGAAAAUGUGUCCACACAAAAACCUGCACACAAAUGUUUAGAGCAGAUUUAUUCAUAAUUGCUCAAACUUGGGAGCAACCAACGCACCCUCCAGUAGGUGAAUGAAUAAAUAAACUCUGGUACAUUGAAACAGUGGAAUAUUAUUCAAUGCUAAAAAGAAAUGCGCUAUCAAGCUAGGAAAAAACGCAGAGAAAUCUUAAAUAAAUAUCACUAAGUGAAAGAAGCCAGUAUGAAAAGGCUACAUGUAUGUCCCACAACCCAGAUGCCCCUCAGCGGGUGAGUAGACACACUGUGGCCCGUCCGCACCACGGAACACCUCCCAGCAAUAAACAGGAGCAGCUGCUGGGGUGUGCCACAGCCUGGAUGGGCAGAAAAAGCUUAGGGAAAGAAGCCAGGUUGGAAAGGCUUCUGGCUGUAUGAUUUGCUUUAUAUGAUAUUCUCAAAUAGACAAAAUUAUAGCGAUGGGGAGCAAGUCGGGGGCUGCCGGGGACUGGCAAUGGAAAGGUGUGACCCUGAAGGGGCGGCAGGAGGGGGCUUCUGGAAUGAGA
rnacentral:lncRNA from 1 species